GGAGGGCUGGCUCAGUGGUAGAGCACGUGCUUAGCAUGCACGAGGUCCUGGGUUCAAUCCCCAGUACCUCCA
rnacentral:tRNA from 1 species